rnacentral:rRNA from 1 species
UACGUAGGGGGCAAGCGUUGUCCGGAAUCAUUGGGCGUAAAGAGCGUGUAGGCGGCUCGGUAAGUCCGCUGUGAAAGUCCAGGGCUCAACCCUGGAAUGCCGGUGGAAACUGUCGAGCUAGAGUCCGGAAGAGGCGAGUGGAAUUCCUGGUGUAGCGGUGAAAUGCGCAGAUAUCAGGAGGAACACCGGUGGCGAAGGCGGCUUGCUGGGCCAGUUCUGACGCUGAGGAGCGAAAGCGUGGGGAGCGAACGGG